GCUCUUGGCAUGGAGUCCAAUCCGCCCAGAACAAGGAAUUCAGGGCCCACUGUUAAUUUGGAAGACACAAAGUCAGGACAUGUGGCCAGGUGCUUUUUCUGAAUCGGCUUCUGAAGGUAACAGGAAUCUUCAGAUAAAUAGACAGACACAGACAGAAUGUAUGACAACACAACUUAAGAGCAAAAGGUCUCCGUGGAAAAACAAAUGAAGAUGACAUGUGGAACUACAGCCUGGAGUUACACUUUAUUACUUUAACAAUACUUACACAAAGAAAAAAUUUUUUAACC